AUAUUAAAGUAGUAUUAGUUAUAUUCUUGAAACUUAAAGAAUUUGGCGGUAUUUUAAUCUAUUUAGAGGAACCUGUCCUGUAAUCGAUAUUCCUCGUUAAAUUUUACUGAAUUAUUUGUAUAUCGUUGUCGAAAAAAUAAAUUUUUAAAUAUUAUUAAUAUAAUAGAUGUCAAAUCAAGGUGCAGUUUAUAAUUCAGAAGAGAUGGGUUACAAUAAAAUUAUUUAGGAAUUUAAUGAAGAUGGAUUUAAAUGUAAAUUUUUUUUAAAAAAAAUAAUUGAUUAAAGCUCUAAAAUAUGU
rnacentral:rRNA from 1 species